AGUUCAGAUUAUGGCUCAGAUUGAAUGGCUGGCGGGAUGCUUCACAUUACGGUACGAACGGCAGCACGGACUUUAUCUGGUGGCGAGUGGCGAACGGGUGAGUAUGUAUCGGAACGUGCCUAGUAGCGGGGAUAACUACGCGAAAGCGUAGCCAAUACCGCAUGCCACGCCCUUCGGGGAAAGCGGGGACCUUCGGGCCUCGCACUAUUAGAGCGCCGAUAUCGGAUUAGCUAGCUGGGUGGGGUAUAACGUUCAUCAUGGCGACGAUCCGUAGCUGGCUUGAGAGGACGACCAGCCACACUGGGACUGAGACACGGCCUCCAGACUGCCGGAGUAUGGCAGUGGGAAUUUUGACAAUGGGGGAAACUUUAUCCAGCCAAUCCUGUGUGCGAUGGCUGCCUUCGGGUUGUAAAGCACUUUUGGCAGGAAAGAAACGGCACGGAUAAUACCCCGUGCAACUGAUUUCCGUACCCUGCAGAAUAAGCACCGGCUAACUACGUGCCAGCAGCCGCGGCGGCAUGUGGUGGGUGCAAGCGUUAAUCGGAAUUACUGGCGUAAAGCGUGCGCAGGCGGUUCGGAAAGAAAGAUGUGAAAUCCCAGAGCUAACUUCGGAACUGCAUUUUUAACUAUCGAGCUAGAGGUGUCAGAGGGAGGUGGAAUUCCGUGUGUAGCAGUAAAAUGCAGAUAUGCGGAGGAACACCGAUGGCGAAGGCAGCCUCCUGGGAUAACACUGACGCUCAUGCACGAAAGCGUGGGGAGCAAACAGGAUUAGAUACCCCAGGUCCACGCCCUAAACGAUGUCAACUAGCUGUUGGGGCCUCGGGCCUUGGUAGCGCAGCUAACGCGUGAAGUUGACCGCCCGGGGAGUACGGUCGCAAGGAUUAAAACUCAAAGGAAUUGACGGGACUCCCGCACAGCGGUGAUGAUAUGGAUUACCCCAUGCAACGCGAAAAACCCACUUACCUCAUGAUGUCUGGAAUCCCGAAGAGAUUUGGGAGUGCUCGCAAGAGAACCGGAACACAGGUGCUGCAUGGCUGUCGUCAGCUCGUGUCGUGAGAUGUUGGGUUAAGUCCUGGCAACGAGCGCAACCCUUGUCAUUAGUUGCUACGAAAGGGUACCUUAGACGAGAUCUGCCGGUGACAACCGGAGGAAGGUGGGGAUGACGCUAAGUCCUCAUGGCCCUUAUGGGUAGGGCUUCACACGUCAUACAAUGGUCGGGACAGAGGGUCGCCAACCCGCGAGGGGGAGCCAAUCCCAGAAACCCGAUCGUAGUCCGGAUCGCAGUCUGCAACUCGACUGCGUGAAGUCGGAAUCGCCAGUAAUCGCGGAUCAGCAUGUCGCGGUGAAUACGCGUUCCCGGUUCCUGCACACACCGCCCGUCACACCAUGGGAGUGGUUUUACCAGAAGUAGUUAGCCUAACCGUAAGGAGGCGAUUACCACGGGUAGGAUCAUGACUGGGGUGAAGUCGUAACAAGGUAA
rnacentral:rRNA from 1 species